GAACGAACGCUGGCGGCAGGCCUAACACAUGCAAGUCGAGCGAGAUCUUCGGGUCUAGCGGCGGACGGGUGAGUAACGCGUGGGAAUAUGCCUCUUGGUACGGAAUAGCCUCGGGAAACUGGGAGUAAUACCGUAUGUGCCCUUUGGGGGAAAGAUUUAUCGCCAAGAGAUUAGCCCGCGUUGGAUUAGGUAGUUGGUGGGGUAAUGGCCUACCAAGCCGACGAUCCAUAGCUGGUUUGAGAGGAUGAUCAGCCACACUGGGACUGCGACACGGCCCAGACUCCUACGGGGGGCAGCAGUGGGGAAUCUUAGACGAUGGGGGCAACCCUGAUCUAGCCAUGCCGCGUGAGUGAUGAAGGCCUUAGGGUUGUAAAGCUCUUUCAGCUGGGAAGAUAAUGACGGUACCAGCAGAAGAAGCCCCGGCUAACUCCGUG
rnacentral:rRNA from 1 species